UUCUGAUUUCGAAGUGGUCAUGGCAGGUUAAGACAUGCGGAAUCUGCCAUUUGUUUGGGUGUGCUACCGAUCCUAACCCUAGGUCUGCUGCCUCGCCUCCGUCCCUUCUCCACCGAUGCGCCCGGUGGCUGCAGCGUGGCCGUGAUGCAGGUGACGAGGUCCAAUUUCAACGCGGCGCUGGAGGGCCUUAGGGCUUGCGUAGAGGAGUCGGACUUCGUGGCCGUUGACCUUGAGAUGACCGGCGUGACGAGUGCCCUAUGGAGGGACUCGUUCGAGUUCGACCGAUCCGAUGUCCGUUACCUUAAGCUGAAGGACUCCGCUGAGAAGUUCACUGUCGUGCAGUUCGGUGUCUGCCCCUUCCGCUUGGAUUCAUCCAAGGGCUCCUUCGCCCAUCCGCAUAACUUCUAUAUCUUUCCACGGAAUGAGUUGCCACUUCAUGGGCCACCUGAUGAUUUCCUAUGGCAAGUAACAUCCAUCGACUUCCUUGCUAAAUGCCAAUUUGACUUCAAUGCAUGCAUAUAUGAAGAAAGAUGUCCUUGAAGAUCUGAGAAAAAAUGCAGAAAAAAGAAUCAAGUCUUCUGUUGGAUUUCGGCAUGUUGUUGAUCUUCUUGCAUCAACAGGAAAAUUGAUUGUUGGUCAUAAUUGUCUUCUAGAUUUAGCUCAUAUAUACAACAAAUUUUUUGGUCCUCUUCCUUCAUCUUUGACGGAAUUUGUGCAAGCUGUCCAUGAAAAAUUCCCCCACAUUGUUGACACUAAGCACCUUUUGAACUCAAACCAGACAAUUCAGCAUUUGAUGAAAAAGAAUAGCAAGUCAUUGUCUUCUGCCUUCUCUCUUUUAUGCCCCAACGUAUCAUCUAAUUUCCAGACCACUUCCAAGUCUUACUUGAGAUUUGAGGUCCAAACAGAUGAAAUUAGGUAAGCUUUCAUAAUUCAAUCAUUUUAUUCAUUUGUUUCUGCAUCAGGAAAUAACAAACUAAACAUGAUCAUUCGUUAUUUUUUGACUUUGUUGGGUUGGAAAUUUUCUCAUACUAUUUUAAACUCUCAAGUGUAAAUCUGUUGCUAUUAUAUGGUUAAUCUAUCUGCAGCAGUUGUAGUAACUAUUAAAAAGGAUUUACUUUGAACCCUUUUCUUUUAUUUUUUAUUCACAAGAAUUUCUUUUGUCAUUUUCCCUUUUUUUCGUAACAUUUGUACUCUUUGCAUUCUCAUUUCAAUGUUUAGUGUUUAUUGUAUUUUAGGUUGUUACAUAUUGUUUCCUUAUAGCCAUAAUGUUCUAACUAAUUUAUAGAUGAGAAUGAGUUUAUCUAGAGGUAAUCAAGUUAUCCAAGAAUGAUCCGUAAUUAUUUAAUUAGGUAAUUCUACUUUUCCAUAUUCUAUUGUGACUUAUGUUUCACUCGUUAGUAUCAUGCAGGAUACCAAGAGCAAACGUUGCAUUAGCCACAACAACAAAGAGUAAAUGUUGGAUUCAAAACCAUCUUUUAAUCUUUUGCUUGGUUCUAUUUGCUUACUAUCUUCUAUAGUUUUGUUUAUUAAUAUUAUAGGAUUAUUUCUUAGCAAUAUUUAUAGUUCAUGUGGUAUUAUGUUGAUAGAUAUUAAGCUUUUUUAGUUUGUGAUUUAAAUUAAUCAAUGUGUAGUAAGAAGACUAUCAAGUCUUUUCUAUUAUCUUGUAUUUGAUUUUGUUAUAUGUACUUAGAGAUUCUAUGUUUAAGAUUCAAAUUCAAAGAAAAUCCUACUUAAGUAUUUGUUCACACUGACAUAAUUUUUAUGGUUUUAUGAUGCCUAUUAUUUCAGAGCCAAAAGAGUCUUCAUGACUUGUUAAUUCUUUAGCAUUGACAACUAUGGACUAAUUAGUGGGUGAUCAUUGAUAUUGAUUAUGACUUUUGCACAAUUUUAAUUUAUUUGCAUUAAAAAUUUUGAUAUUGCAAGACUUACUCAUUUCAUGUUUUGAUUUGUUAGAUUCUCUCAACAAAAGUGGUUGGUUCAUUAAUUUGUACAAGAGAAACAAUUUAUCUCAUGAAAUUCGAAGACAGGGAGGGCAAAAAGAAGAAAUUGAAGGCAUGCAUGCUAUUAGCUCAAGGAUGGAGGAACAAAUUAUUGAAAGGAAAAAAAACUUGUUAUUACAUAAAGUAUAGGCAGAGGAAAGAAAAUCAUAUUGAGGAAGGUAGGCAAAGAGAAGAAAAUCUCAAGGAGAUGAUUCGGAAAUGAUUCAAGAAAUAGAAUAUACAAAUCAUUUAUAUCUAGGAGAAUUUGGUCUUUAUAGUUUGAUUAUUGGUCAAAUUUCUUUGGAUAAUGUAAAUAUUUAUUUAUUUUAAUGUUAAUUGUAUAAUACAUUUGGAAUUA